rnacentral:rRNA from 1 species
UACGUAGGCAGCGAGCGUUGUUCGGAGUUACUGGGCGUAAAGGGUGUGUAGGCGGUUGUUUAAGUUUGGUGUGAAAUCUCCCGGCUCAACUGGGAGGGUGCGCCGAAUACUGAAUGACUUGGAGUGCGGGAGAGGUGAGUGGAAUUCCUGGUGUAGCGGUGAAAUGCGUAGAUAUCAGGAGGAACACCGGUGGUGUAGACGGCUCACUGGACCGUAACUGACGCUGAGAUACGAAAGCGUGGGUAGCAAACAGG